rnacentral:rRNA from 2 species
GCGGCGGACGGGUGAGUAACACGUGGGCAACCUGCCUGUAAGACUGGGAUAACUUCGGGAAACCGAAGCUAAUACCGGAUAGGAUCUUCUCCUUCAUGGGAGAUGAUUGAAAGAUGGUUUCGGCUAUCACUUACAGAUGGGCCCGCGGUGCAUUAGCUAGUUGGUGAGGUAACGGCUCACCAAGGCAACGAUGCAUAGCCGACCUGAGAGGGUGAUCGGCCACACUGGGACUGAGACACGGCCCAGACUCCUACGGGAGGCAGCAGUAGGGAAUCUUCCGCAAUGGACGAAAGUCUGACGGAGCAACGCCGCGUGAGUGAUGAAGGCUUUCGGGUCGUAAAACUCUGUUGUUAGGGAAGAACAAGUACAAGAGUAACUGCUUGUACCUUGACGGUACCUAACCAGAAAGCCACGGGCUAACUACGUGGCAGCAGGCGCGGUAAUACGUAGGUGGCAAGCGUUAUCCGGAAUUAUUGGGCGUAAAGCGCGCGCAGCGGUUUCUUAAGUCUGAUGUGAAGCCCACGGCUCAGCGGUGGAGGUCAUUGCAAACUGGCGAAC